AAAUCUGGGAGAGAACUGGCCUCUGUAACCGCAAAGGGGCAGGUGACCCUGACUCCUUGACUUCUGGCACUCCCAGCUCCAGCUCUGUGGCCUGGGGUUCUGAUGGUUCCUUCCCACACCCCUGCUCUCCCAACCUAGAGUCCUGAAGCAGGAGGGGCUGGGCCAGCCCCGGGCCCCGAGGCUGCCUUUGGCUCCAGACCUAGAGAACCAGGCUCAGAGCUAUGCUGGGAAAGCCUGGCUGCUGAGUGCGGGUGCACCUGGGCCCGACAGGCUGGCCACUGUCCUACAGCAGGUGGCACGUAGGCAGAUCCGCCCAGGGGGCCCCAGAGGGUGUGCAUGCCUCAAGCAGCCCUCUAAAGGUCCCCGCCAAGUCUGUCCCAGGGGUGGCUUCUGCCCUAGGAAGGCCAGCAGUUUACUGAACUCCACCCAGGAGCUGGUUUGUAAAGCGAGAAGGGAGGCUGGGCUGCUGGCUGCCCUGCCUGAUCCAGACACAACACUGAUCCAAAAAGCACACGGAAGGCUGUUCAGCAGAGAUGAGCAGAUGAUGAAGAAGAUUCAGAGAGGUCAAACUACUUGCCUAUGGACACUGACUGGGCUCUCUGCCUGGUGAACUCCGACUCCGCAGCGUGUGCACAGCCUCGGCUGGAGCCGCAGGGAGCAGGUGUUGGAGCAUCGCAGGUGUUGGAGCAUCACAGGUGUGGACAGCAAGGUCAGCAGAACUUCAAUGUCAGCGUGUGAGACCCCUGCUAUUGGUGUCAGACAAAGUGCUUUGCAAAGCCCGGAGAUCCACACCAGGCUCCGGCAGACCCUGUGUCAGUCCUGCGCAAGGCUUCACCCCCUGGUACCGCCUGAGGGGGAGGCAGGGACUCGGCCUGAGAGGGCUGCGGGAUGCGGGCUUUGGGGAUGCUCCCCAAGUGCCUUGGGCCUGGCCAGGUCGGGACGUCCCUGGGGAUGAGAGAUAGCCCCCGCGGGCUCCUGGGCCCCACCUGAGAAGGUGUGCAAGGGAGAAGCAGGAGCCCAGAGUCCCCAAGCUCCCAGGGGCCUGCUGCCUGAGCCGGCUGCCAGACAGCUCUGUGGCACCACCAGGCUCAGGAACUUAUUCAGGAAACAAGGACUUCCGGAGAGCCUGCUUCAAGUCAGGCCCUGGGCUGGGCUCUGAGGACUCGGUGAGGAACAGCAGACGCAGCCCCUGCCUUCACAGAGCUGGCACUCCAGCGGGAGGGACAGACACAGCCUGUCAAAUAGAGACGGAAGGAUUUGGCAGCAGCUAUGCAGGAAAGCACUCCUUCUGCUAUGGCCCCUUCUGGCCGCAGCACGGGCUGCCUUCAGCCUGAGACGCAGGG
rnacentral:lncRNA from 1 species